rnacentral:misc_RNA from 1 species
GAUGAAGAACGUAGUGAAAUGCGAUACGUAAUGUGAAUUGCAGAAUUCAGUGAAUCAUCGAGUCUUCGAACGCACAUUGCGCCCCCUGGUAUUCCGGGGGGCAUGCCUGUCCGAGCGUCAUUGCUGCCCUCAAGCCCGGCUUGUGUGUUGGGUCUCGUCCCCCUUCCCGGGGGGACGGGCCCGAAAGGCAGCGGCGGCACCGCGUCCGGUCCUCGAGCGUAUGGGGCUUUGUCACCCGCUCUGUAGGCCCGGCCGGCGCUUGCCGAUCAACCAAAACUUUUUUCCAGGUUGACCUCGGAUCAGGUAGGGAUACCCGCUGAACUUAAGCAUAUCAAUAAGCGGAGGA